UCUCCGUUGGUGAACCAGCGGAGGGAUCAUUACCGAGUUUUCUACUCCCAAACCCCUGUGAACUUAUACCUUUACCGUUGCUUCGGCGGGUUAACGCCCCGGAAAGGCCCCCGAAAGGGAGCCGCCCCGGAACCAGGCGCCCGCCGGGGGACCCAAACUCUUGUAUUUUCUUACCUAGCAUGUCUGAGUGGAAUCAUAAACAAAUGAAUCAAAACUUUCAACAACGGAUCUCUUGGUUCUG
rnacentral:misc_RNA from 1 species